CAGUCAUGCUUGCAGGGAAUCAACAAGGUGGUUUUCUUCCUUGUGCACUUCCUUGCUUGGCAGGUUAGCAUCAAUUUUGAUUGUCAUUAAAUAACUGGGGAAAUGUGGCUUCUUCGGGAGUGUUAUAGACCCUGGUAGAUGUGGCGAUUGGGAUUGAGGAUUGCAGCGAAUGCUUCUUGGCUAGUCACCUGGCUUCUGAUGGUCGCCUUGCUUCCGAUAGCUUGCUAACGGUGGUGAGACUCGAUUAUCUAGAUGUUAGUGUGAUCAUAAA
rnacentral:rRNA from 1 species